rnacentral:rRNA from 1 species
AUCAAUUGGCUACUGUGCCACUUGGUGGAUGGCUCGGCUCGAGCGCCGACGAAGGACGUGCCAAGCUGCGAUAAGCCUGAGGGAGCCGCACGGAGGCGAAGAACUCAGGAUCUCCGAAUGGGAAUCCCCACCGCAAUUGCUUCGCGCAAUGGGGAACGCCGGGAAUUGAAACAUCUCAGUACCGGCAGGAAGAGAAAACGAAUGUGAUGUCGUCAGUAACCGCGAGUGAACGCGACCUAGCCCAAACCGAAGCGCGCGAGGUUUCGACCUCGUUGCGCAAUGUGGUGUUUGGACUGACUCUCAUCGUCUGACAGUCUUCACGAAGUCUCCUGGAACGGAGCGUGAAACAGGGUGACAACCCCGUAAUGAAGACCAGUACGACGUGCGUCAGUUCCAGAGUAUCGGGGGUUGGAAAUCCCUCGUGAACACGGCAGGCAUCGAUCUGCUAAGGCUAAAUACGACUCGAGACCGAUAGUGAAAAAGUAGCGUGAGCGAACGCUGCAAAGCACCCUCAGAAGGGAGGUGCAAUAGGGCCUGAAAUCGAGUGGCGAUGGAGCGACGGGGCAUACAAGGCCGUAGCACGAACGACCGAAGGGCGACCUUCCAGUAGGACUGCUGCGGAGCCGAUGUUCCGUCGUACGUUUUGAAAAACGAACCAGGGAGUGUGUCUACGAGGCGAGUCUAACCCGUUCAUCGGGGAAGGCACAGGGAAACCGACAUGGCCGCAGUGCUUUGCACGAGGGCCGCCGUGUUCAAGCGCGGGGAGUCUCGUGGACACGACCCGAAACCGAGUGAUCUACGCGUGGGCAAGGUGAAGCGUGCCGAAAGGCACGUGGAAGCCUGCUAGGGAUGGUGUCCUACAAUACCCUCCCGUGACCUACGUGUAGGGGUGAAAGGCCCAUCGAACUCGGCAACAGCUGGUUCCGACCGAAACAUGUCGAAGCAUGACCUCCGCCGAGGUAGUCCGUGAGGUAGAGCGACCGAUUGCCGUGUCCGCCCUCGAGAGAGGUCGGCGCGGCUGUCAAACUCCAAACUUACGGACGCUGUCGACGCGGGGAGUCCGGUAUGCGGGGUAAGCCUGUGUACCGUGAGGGAGACAACCCAGAGCUGGGUUAAGGUCCCAAAGUGUAGACUAAGUGCGAUCGAAGGUGGUCUCAAGCCCUAAACAGCCGGGAGGUGAGCUUAGAAGCAGCUACCCUCUAAGAAAAGCGUAACAGCUUACCGGCCGAGGUUUGAGGCGCCCAAAAUGAUCGGGGCUCAAGUCUACCACCGAGACCUGGCCGCAGGAGUUACAUCCUGACCGCGUAGGUCGGCGAUCCGAUUGGGUGGAAGCACGGGCGAGAGCUCGCGUGGACCGAUUGGUUACGAAAAUCCUGGUCAAAGUAGCAGCGAUAGUCGGGUAAGAAUCCCGACGGCCUUACGAGCAAGGGUUCCUCGGCACUGUUCGUCAACCGAGGGUUAGUCGGUCCUAAGUCACACCGUAACUCGAACGUGACAAAAGGGAAGCUGGUUAAUAUUCCAGCACCAUCACACGCUCAAAGUCGACGCUUUGGGGCAAUCCGGUCCGGGCCUUCGCCCGGACGAACCAUCGAACCUCGUGGAAGCCGUAAUGGCACGAAGCGAGCGAAUGGUGGGAUAGCGCAAGCCGGACGUACCCAGAGCCCGUGAAAAGACGAGUGUGAUGUCCGUACCGAGAUCCGACACAGGUGCUCGUGGCGGCGAAAGCCAAGGCCUGUCGGGGACAAUCGACGUUAGGGAAUUCGGCAAUCUAGUCCCGUACCUUCGGAAGAAGGGAUGCCUGCCUCGGAAAGAGGCAGGUCGCAGUGACUCGGGGGCUCGGACUGUCUAGUAACAACAUAGGUGACCGCAAAUCCGCAAGGACUCGUACGGUCACUGAAUCCUGCCCAGUGCGGGUAUCUGAACACCUGGUACAACAGGACGAAGGACCCGUCAACGGCGGGGGUAACUAUGACCCUCUUAAGGUAGCGUAGUACCUUGCCGCUUCAGUAGCGGCUUGCAUGAAUGGAUCAACCAGGGCCCCGCUGUCCCAACGUCGAGCCCGGUGAACUGUACGUUCCAGUGCGGAGUCUGGAGACCCCCAAGGGGAAGCGAAGACCCUAUAGAGCUUUACUGCAGGCUGUUGCUGGGACAUGGUCGCUGAUGUGCAGGGUAGGUAGGAGCCGUUAUACAGGUGCGUGCGCCAGCACGUCGCCGAGGCACACAUGAAACACUACCCGUCAGUGACUGUGACCCUCACUCCGGGAGGAGGACACCAAUAGCCGGGCAGUUUGACUGGGGCGGUACGCGCUUGAAAAGAUAUCGAGCGCGCCCCAAGGCCAUCUCAGCCGUGUCGGAGACGCGGCGAAGAGCGCAAGAGCAUAAGAUGGCUUGACAGUGUUCUGCACAACAAGGAACGCUGACGCGAAAGCGUGGUCUAGCGAACCUAUGCGCCCGCUCGAUGCGGGCCAUAGAUGACAGAAAAGCUACCUUAGGGAUAACAGAGUCGUCACUCGCAAGAGCACAUAUCGACCGAGUGGCUUGCUACCUCGAUGUCGGUUCCCUCCAUCCUGCCCGUGCAGCAGCGGGCAAGGGUGAGGUUGUUCGCCUAUUAAAGGAGGUCGUGAGCUGGGUUUAGACCGUCGUGAGACAGGUCGGCUGCUAUCUAUUGGGGGUGUCAUGGUAUCUGACGGGAACGUCCGUAUAGUACGAGAGGAACUACGGAUGGUUGCCACUGGUGUACCGGUUGUUCGAGAGAGCACGUGCCGGGCAGCCACGCAACACGGGGUAAGAGCUGAACGCAUCUAAGCUCGAAACCCACCUGGAAAAGAGAUACCGCCGAGAUCACUCGUAGAAGACGAGAUCGAUAGACUCGGGGUGUACGCGCCGAGGUGACGAGGCGUUUAGCCCGCGAGCACUAACCGAUCGAAGCCACCAAUCAUA